rnacentral:piRNA from 1 species
UGUAUUGAGACUUGGUGCAGGUACAG